rnacentral:rRNA from 1 species
UCCCAGACUCCUACGGGAGGCAGCAGUGGGGAAUAUUGCACAAUGGGGGAAACCCUGAUGCAGCGACGCCGCGUGGGCGAGGAAGUACCUCGGUAUGUAAAGCCCUCUCAGCAGGGAAGAAACAGGACAGUACCUGACUAAGAAGCCCCGGCUAACUACGUGCCAGCAGCCGCGGUAAUACGGAGGAUGCGAGCGUUAUCCGGAUUUAUUGGGUUUAAAGGGUGCGCAGGCGGAUUUUUAAGUCAGCGGUCAAAUCGGGGGGCUCAACCCCAUCCAGCCGUUGAAACUGGGGAUCUAGAGUUUGCGAGAGGUAUGCGGAAUGCGUGGUGUAGCGGUGAAAUGCAUAGAUAUCACGCAGAACCCCGAUUGCGAAGGCAGCAUACCGGUGCACAACUGACGCUCAGGCACGAAAGCGUGGGUAUCGAACAGGAUUAGAUACCCGAGUC